GGGGCCGACUGGUUUUGACAGCGAGACCAGUGGCGAUGUAAGCAUGCCGAGCGCUGGGAUACAGCUCGUAAAUCUCAUGACUCAACUUUUUUAAAUGGCGAGUCUAACUACGCUUUAGCUGCCUAACGGACUGAAUUACAGUAAGUCUUGGCCUAGUCCCGCAAGGCGGGAAAGCUAAAUGUCCCCGGGUAGCCCUUGUUGACGGCGACCCUUCCGGGGGCACCAUAAAAGUCAACAUAGUGCCAACAGGGCUUCAAUGUUGGCAUAAACCUUAAGAAGCUAAGUGCGUAAUGGGCGGUUUUUGGUCAGUUGCGCGCCGACAAUCAAACAAAAACUAAGCAUGUAGAAAGCAUGGUCAUUGCUUGUUUGGACGGGAGUUCGAUUCUCCCCGGCUCCACAA
rnacentral:tmRNA from 1 species